rnacentral:lncRNA from 1 species
AGUUGGGAGCUCCCUGCUAUUAAAAAGCCACAGGAAGUCUUUUCGUACUGCCUGAGGAAUUAAUCCCUUAUUUAACGUUCAGAAUUGCUGGAUCGAUUGAACAGGACUGGAGCUAACAUUUGCUUGGAUUUGGCACCAUUGAUAGGGAACUGCCUGCUGCGUCCUCCGCUUUGAAGUCACCCUGGUCUUUGGGCCUCCAGCACCUUCUUCAGCAUGUCCAACCCAUCUAAGAGGCGUAUGAUAAUGGUGUUCUACUGGGUUAGGAAGACGCCCCUGACAGAGAAGCCGUGCUCUACCACCUCGGCCAGACCUUCUGCCUCUGCACCGGCUUGCAACACUCCUCACAUUUCACCCUACUUCACGAGGAGCAAGACACAACCCGCUCCGCUCAGGAGGUCCAGCAGGCGCAAGGUGCCGCGAUUGCCGAAUCUCACCGACCCCAAGUUUUUAAGAUCGGUCAUUGGCAGCGUUGGACGGAAGAGAGCCCGCAGGUGUGGCAAGCAAAAGAAGACUCCGAGACUUCCAGUUUAACCGCGGACAUCAUAGAAGCGCGGAAAAACCUCUCUGAGGCUUUCUGAGCGGCGCGGGGGCUCUGAGGGUGGCGCAAGGGCACUGCGCACCUCCAAACCUCAAGGGGAUCAUCUUUGGGGGACAGGGGCACCCAGCGGCGCCACAGCUGCUCCCCUGUUUUCUCGGGGGUUUUUUUAAAGGCCCGAGAGCGGGACGGAGUGGCAGGCGUGAAAGGGAAAGCACCACCACCCCCGCGCUGUGCUGUCUCUAGAAAUGUAUAGAAAUGAAGAAGAAACUGUAAGAGAAGAUGUAUAUUAAGAAAACCACAACUGGGAAGGAAGGAAGUCGAGGCGUGAUUUUACGCAAUGUAAAUAAGAUGAUAUUAAGAAUGAUUGUAAAGACUGUUUUAUUUUGUUUGUG